GACGAACGCUGGCGGCGUGCUUAACACAUGCAAGUCGAACGGAAAGGCCCCUUCGGGGGUACUCGAGUGGCGAACGGGUGAGUAACACGUGGGUAACCUGCCCUUGACUUCGGGAUAACUUCAGGAAACUGGGGCUAAUACCGGAUAGGAAUCCUUGCUGCAUGGUGGGGGUUGGAAAGCUUCGGCGGUUUUGGAUGGACUCGCGGCUUAUCAGCUUGUUGGUGGGGUAGUGGCUUACCAAGGCUUUGACGGGUAGCCGGCCUGAGAGGGCGACCGGCCACAUUGGGACUGAGAUACGGCCCAGACUCCUACGGGAGGCAGCAGUGGGGAAUAUUGCACAAUGGGCGGAAGCCUGAUGCAGCAACGCCGCGUGCGGGAUGACGGCCUUCGGGUUGUAAACCGCUUUCAGCAGGGGCGAAGCUUGUGGUGACGGUACCUGCAGAAGAAGCACCGGCUAACUACGUG
rnacentral:rRNA from 1 species